rnacentral:rRNA from 1 species
CCCUUAGAUGUCCUGGGCCGCACGCGCGUUACACUGAUGCACUCAACGAGCAUAUAACCUUGGCCGAGAGGCCUGGGUAAUCUUGUUAACAUGCAUCGUGAUAGGGAUAGAUUAUUGCAAUUAUUAAUCUUGAACGAGGAAUUCCUAGUAAUCGCAGUUCAUCAAACUGCAAUGAUUACGUCCCUGCCCUUUGUACACACCGCCCGUCGCACCUACCGAUUGAAUGGUCCGGUGAAGACUCGGGAUUGUGGUUUGGCUCCUUCAUUGGGGCCUGACUGCGAGAACUUGUCUAAACCUUAUCAUUUAGAGGAAGGUGAANUCGUANCA